CCUACGGGUGGCAGCAGUGAGGAAUAUUGGUCAAUGGACGCAAGUCUGAACCAGCCAUGCCGCGUGCAGGAAGACGGCUCUAUGAGUUGUAAACUGCUUUUGUACGAGGGUAAACGCAGAUACGCGUAUCUGUCUGAAAGUAUCGUACGAAUAAGGAUCGGCUAACUCCGUGCCAGCAGCCGCGGUAAUACGGAGGAUUCAAGCGUUAUCCGGAUUUAUUGGGUUUAAAGGGUGCGUAGGCGGUCGGAUAAGUUAGAGGUGAAAUCUCGGGGCUCAACUUCGGAAUUGCCUCUGAUACUGUUCGUCUAGAGAAUAGUUGCGGUAGGCGGAAUGUAUGGUGUAGCGGUGAAAUGCUUAGAGAUCAUACAGAACACCGAUUGCGAAGGCAGCUUACCAAGCUACUUCUGACGUUGAGGCACGAAAGCGUGGGGAGCAAACAGGAUUAGAUACCCGAGUAGUC
rnacentral:rRNA from 1 species